GUAUUUUGUGCAACAAUUUUGAUUUAUUGCAUAUAAUUUCUUACCCAAAGGUGUUAUUAUAUGUGAUGGUUUUUUGAAAAUGGUAUAAGGCAGUUAACGAGUUUACCUUGGUCUAGAAAUUUUCUUGUAUCCAAAGGUGUUGGUAUUUCGAAAACCAAUGUAAUUUUGUUAACUGGCUACAUGAUGUGUUUUAAGAGUACCUUAUAGUAUGUUGUAUUGUCGACCCAAAGGUGACUUUAUGAUGAUGCACCUAGGCUCUUAGCGUAAUAAAAUUCAUAUAUUUCGAUUUAAAUUACGGAUUAUCUAAUUAAUGGCACAUAUUAAUUAGUUGGAUAUUACAUCAUCCAUUUG
rnacentral:lncRNA from 1 species